CAUUUUUCUGGUUCAGAAGAAGGGCGGUCAAAUGCGGCCGGUGAUAAAUCUCCACGCCUUGAACGCUGUGGUACGCUAUCGCCACUUCAAAAUGGAAGGAAUCCACCUUCUUCGGGACUUGCUGAUUCCCGGGGACUGGAUGGUGAAGUUGGACCUCAAAGAUGCCUAUCUGACGGUCCCAAUUGCCACGACAUCCAGGGAUCUCCUGCGUUUCCGGUGGGGGGACGAAGUGUGACGCUUCACUUGCCUGCCGUUCGGCCUUUCUUC